AACGAACGCUGGCGACAUGCCUAACACGUGCAAGUCGAACGAGAUCUUCGGGUCUAGUGGCGCACGGGUGCGUAACGCGUGGGAAUCUGCCCUUUGGUUCGGAAUAACAGUUGGAAACGACUGCUAAUACCGGAUGAUGACGAAAGUCCAAAGAUUUAUCGCCAGAGGAUGAGCCCGCGUAGGAUUAGCUAGUUGGUGUGGUAAAGGCGCACCAAGGCGACGAUCCUUAGCUGGUCUGAGAGGAUGAUCAGCCACACUGGGACUGAGACACGGCCCAGACUCCUACGGGAGGCAGCAGUGGGGAAUAUUGGACAAUGGGCGAAAGCCUGAUCCAGCAAUGCCGCGUGAGUGAUGAAGGCCUUAGGGUUGUAAAGCUCUUUUACCCGGGAUGAUAAUGACAGUACCGGGAGAAUAAGCUCCGGCUAACUCCGUGCCAGCCGCCGCAGUAA
rnacentral:rRNA from 1 species